UUUGGAGCUGUAGGGUCAAAUUAUUUUUUAUGUACUUUAUUUACAUUUUAUUUACUUUAUAAUGCUGCUGUUUGCUGACAUUAUGUCUGUGGUCAAAAAUUAAAAUGUCUGAUGCCUUGGCGCAGUGCACACACGCAAAGCUGGGGAUAUGACGCAUUCGCACGGUUAAGGCUAGAAGAGAUACGUUUGGCUCUACUGGGCAUGCGCACAUAAAUACAGUGUAAUUUUUGUCAUACUGUACAACAUUAAUUAGUUCAUUAUUGUAAAGGGUAAGUUUAAGGCUGGGGUAGGUGUAGACAUUAAUAAAACACAAUCUAACAGGUAGAAAAUUAAAUUAUAGACAUCUAAAUUUUUCAGAAUGCAGCAAGUGCACCGCUAGUCAUGUGACAAGAAUCAACGAAUCAGCUUCAUCCUUUCCCGUAACAAAACUGAAAGCUAAGCCAAGAUGGAGAAACAGCUGAUCAUAGCUGUACAAGGAUAGCCAUUUUUUAAAUUAAUUUAUUAGCAGAGCUACUGCAAGGAAUUUUUAGUACUGGAAAUCCAUUUAUUCUUUGCUGAAACUUCUGCGUUUUCAUAGAGAGCAGGUCAUGGUUGCCUAGCAACGGCAGACGCCACGGGAGCGCAAGCAUAGAGCGCAGGCUACAGAGUGCUUUGGAAAAAAGGAGAAAGUGGCGCACCUAGCAUUUCCACACGUUUUUAGGCCCAACAUGCAAAUUAUUUUUGUUUUGAAGGAGAAUAAAAAAAAUUUGCUGGACUUGGUUGAGACCAAUGAGAACAUUUAGUGAAUCCAAUGACCAAGGAUACACUGGUGGGUGAGAAGGGAAACCUUGCACUCAAUCCUGAGUGAAUCAAUGGAGUAAUUUAAGUGAUAUGAUCAUAUUUGCACACCCUCAUGAGGAUCCUAGCAGCACAGUUCUGAAUGUACUGCAGCUUCUGGAGGCUUUUGCCAGGGAUCCCGUUGAGAAGCGCAUUGCAAUAGUCCAGCAUGGAGGAAACAAAAGCGUGGACAAGCUUUUCUGCAUCUGCAAGAGUGAGCAUGGGGCGAAGUUUGGCGAUGUUCCUCAGGUGGAAGAAAGAGGUCUUACACAGAUGUUUAAUGUGGUCCUCAAAGGUCAGAUGAGAGUCCAUUUUAACACCCAGGUUGGUGACUUAUGUUAAAAAGUGAAAUAUCCCUGCCAGAGAAGGUAAUGCUAUUUAUGACAGAUGUUCGGACCUGGUUUGGAGUGCCAAUUAGGAUGGCUUCAGUUUUGGAGCUGUUUAGCUGCAAGACAUUUUGCUUCAUCCACGCCUUUAUCUCCUCCAGGCAGGUGGUCAGAGUGGAAGAUGGCAGGGCAGCAGACGAGGUUGAGUUGUGUCAAAUGCUGAGCUCAAAUCCGGAAGGAUAAGGAGAGAUGGGGUGCCAGCAUCUUCCGUCAUCAGUAGGUCAUUUGUAACCCUGACCAGGGCAGUUUCUGUGCUGUGGCCGGAGUGAAAACCAGACUGGGAUUUCUCAAACAGUUUAUUUUGUUUCAAAUGGACCAGAAGCUGGCAGCUACUACUUUUUCCAACACUUUGGAAAGGAAUGGAAGGUUGGAGAUGGGCCUGUAGUUGUCAAGGAUUCUGGGUCUAAGGUGGGUUUUUUGAAAAGUCGUCUGAUGUCAGCAGUUUUCAAUGCAGAUGGAACAUGGCCAGCCUGGAGGGAGUUAUUGAUGACCUUGGUGAUCAGGGGAUUUAUAACACAGAGGUUAGAUUUUACCAAGGAUGUGGGAAAGGAGUCCAGGGCACAAGUGGAUGGUUUCAUCUUUCUAAUAAUGUUCUCAACCGCUUGCUGUGAGAUGUCAGAGAAACAGCAGAGAAGUUGGGAAAUCCCAGGCUGUGGGCCGACAGUAGGGACAGACAAGACAGGAGAGCUGUAUAGGAUGAAGCAGAAGUUAUCUAUUUUUUUUUUCCUAAAAAAGUGAUAAAGUUGUUACACCUCUCCUCUGUAGCUUCUGAAUAACAAUGAGUUUGUGGUUUAAGGAUGUAAUUUAUAGUAGAAAAUAGUUGCUUAGAGUUACCAGGACUGUUGUUAAUGAUAUUGGACCUCGCAUAGGCCUUCUGAUGCUCUCUGUAGGCUUGCCUGUGAACAGUAAGUCCUGAGGCCAUAAAGCGAGGCACAAGGACACGCCCUGCUGUCUUCAUCUUUCGCAGUUCGCAGGUGUACCAGGGAGCUGAGUGCGAAAAGGUGACAAUUCUAGUUCUGAUAAUAGCAUGGAAAUCUGCUCAGAGAUUGAUUGUAGAAAUCAACCGACUCAGUGGCUGAGGAAAAAUCAACAGAAGAGAGAUGCUGGAGGUCUAUAGAGGCUGAUCUUUUUCAGGUCCCUGAAACAGAUUUGACGCUUAUCUUUAGUGUAGGAAGUGGCAGCUUCAUUGAGAGGACCUUGUGGUCAGAUUCACCCAGUACAUACACCAGAAAGUUACUAAUAGGGGCUAAGUUUGAAAUGACCAGGUCCAGUAUGUGGCCCCUGAAAUGAGUGGGGACAUCAACAUGUUGUUGGAGGUUGAGACAGUCCAGUAGUGGCAGAAACUCAGCUGCAAAGUGGCAGGAGGGAAUGUCUUCAUGAAUAUAAAAAUCUCCAAGUAUUGUAAUGUUAGCAGAAAAUGUGCAGAGUGUUGUAAGUAGAUAGUGCAUCUCUGAUAAAAAACUUGAGUUUUGUUUAGGAGGCAGAUAGAUGAGAAGUAUUGUCAUGAGGAAAGGGGAUUUACACUUUAAUGCAAGGCAUUCAAAAGAACACAAUGCAGGCAGGGAGAGGGGGGACAAUUCCAAAUUCUGUCUGUGUGUUACAGUGACCAGUGCUGCAGGCUUUCUUAAGGUGGCUGUAACCAGGAGGACAUGUGUCAUUUAACGCUGAGUAGACCUCAGGCUGGUGCCAUGUUUCUAUAAUGCACAUAAAGUCUAAUCCAUUAUCCAUGACGUGGUCUUAUAUAAAAGAUGAUUUAUUUGAGAGGGAUUGUGUAUUAAAAAGUUAUAUUUUAAACGUUAAUAAGGUAAUGAAUCUCUGUAGAGGCCGUAGUAUACUGGAAUUUACACCACAUUUUCUGUCCUGCCUGCUGUGCAGGGAUCCUGUGUUACUAACAUCAAGAGCGACACUGUUCUGAUGACAUGGCAGAUGUGCGACAGUGGUCCAGAUGGAUGGAAUUUCUGAAGCAGAGCAGUCAUGCUGAUGAUAAACAAACUUAUGACGGGAACUUCUGUGAAUAUAACGUGGUCGUCACAGAAGUCCACAUUUUUUGACAACUGCCGUGCACGUUGGAAUGGUGCGGUUGUUGAGAGUCAGCAACUGUGGAAGGGAAUACUUGAGCUUCAUGCCAAUCGCCAAAAAAACUUGCAGUAGCAGCGCAACAAUCAACCGAUGUUGGAGGGGAUAACAGUAGGUGAGAAGAAAGCCUUCAGUUCAAUGAUAAUCCAUGCAAAAAAAAAAAAAAAAUUGUUAAAACAGAGAAAACGGCGAAAACAACAAAGUGCCAGCAUCCUCUAACUUCAAUUUAGAACAAUCCAUCCAAAAAAAAAAAAAAAGGUUAAAAAUUAUUAAAACUAUUAAAACAAAGAAAUUGUUACAACGGAGAAGCGGCGAACAACAAACGCCAGCAUCCUCUCCAUCCAAGGUAGCUGUUCGCAAUGCAGCCUGUCUGACAGAUAUUUCUGUCUAGAUGAAGGAUCAUCACCUUCAACUCAACCUUACUAAGACAGAACUCCUUGUGGUCUCAGCCAAUGCAGCACUUUAUCACAACCUCUCUAUACAGCUAGGUUUGUUAACCAUAACUCCUUCCAGAACAGCCAGGAACCUUGGAGUUGUGAUGGAUGAUCAGUUAAGCUUUGCACACUAUAUUGCUACAAUGGCCCGGUCCUGCAGGUUUGCCUUAUACAACAUAAGGAAGAUUAGACCCUUCCUAACAGAGCAGACCGCACAACUCCUUGUCCAAGCUCUUGUUCACUCCAGACUGGACUAUUGUAAUGCUCUCUUGGCAGGCCUUCCUACAUUUAUUAUCAGCCUCUGCAACUGAUCCAGAAUGCAGCAGGCAAAGUGGUCUUCAACUAUCCGAAGAAAGCUCACGUCACACGAGAGGUCUGCACGAUCUUUAAACUGAAGCCCGAAUCCAGCCUGUACUCGAGAUCGUCUGACCCGACCCGACCCGACCCAACCUGAGCGCCACAGUUAAAUUUAGAGCCCGAACCCAACCCAAACCCGAAUUUUUUUUUUUUUUUUUUUUUUUUACAAGGAAUAGCCAAUUUUUAAAAAAAUCUUGUAUUUCACGAUUGCAUGCAACGGUCAGUAAUCAAAUAAAUAUAAAGAAGCAGAUUCAUUAAGGCUCAGCCUGUUCACGAACCAAAAAAAAAAAAAAAAAAAAAAAACACUUACCAGUUAUGAGAGUUCAU